GACGAACGCUGGCGGCGUGCUUAACACAUGCAAGUCUACGAGAAUAAGGUAGCAAUAUCUUUAGUAAAGUGGCGCACGGGUGAGUAACACGUAAGUAACCUACCUUUAGAUUUGGAAUAACCCCGAGAAAUCGGGGCUAAUACCGAAUGAUGCAGCGGCACCACAUGGUGAUGUUGUUAAAGUCUAUAUGACGUCUAAAGAUGGGCUUGCGUCUGAUUAGCUAGUUGGUGAGGUAACGGCCCACCAAGGCUACGAUCAGUAGCUGGUCUGAGAGGAUGAUCAGCCACACUGGAACUGAGACACGGUCCAGACUCCUACGGGAGGCAGCAGUGAGGAGUAUUGGGCAAUGCCCGAAAGGGUGACCCAGCAACGCCGCGUGGAGGAUGAAUGCCGUAAGGUUGUAAACUCCUGUUAGAGGGGAAGAAAAAUCUCGAUCAAAUCGAGAACUGACUGUACCCUCAGAGAAAGCCCCGGCUAACUACGUGCCAGCCGCCGCAGUAACAC
rnacentral:rRNA from 1 species